GGCACCAUGGUUGCUCUGGCGUGCUGCUGGAAGAAAAGGAGGGAGGACGAGGGAGAGGGAGAGAGAAAACUGGGAGGAAGGAGAGAAACGAGGGUAGGCACGGGCUCCCAGGGGGAGAUGGACGAGGACGAGGAUGGUCUGGUGCGCUGCUGGUGCAGGGAGGGCAGCAGCUGCUAAUUUCAUGUGGAGGACACGCAGGGGCGGACGGCGAGCGAAUUGAAUCUGGACAUUCACCCAGGGAAGCAACAUAUAUCUUCUGAUCUUUGUCUUGCCUCCGAUGCAAUUUCAGUUUGUCCAGUAGUGCUCUUGACAAAUUUCUAGAAUGAAGAAUGAAAUACUUGGAGAUAGGCCACCAAUUCGGUGUUGAACUCAGGUUUACACAUUGGUGCACAUGAUGUGUCAAUCAAACAUACUAUAGCCCUCAUAUAAUGGCUACUGCUGUUUGCAAAGUAAGAAUCGAAUGAUGCAAAGAGAUUUAUGCUGUAGAAGAACUUACAAGGUAGUUUCUGAAGCCCUUUCAUUGGAAUUUGACGAAAUUCACAACCACAUAGGUCACACACAAUUUAAGCCUCCAUGGUAUUAAAUAUGCCAUGUCUGUCGGUCCUCUGUUUAGAAAUGUUUUAG